GAUGAAGAACGCAGCGAAAUGCGAUAAGUAAUGUGAAUUGCAGAAUUCAGUGAAUCAUCGAAUCUUUGAACGCACAUUGCGCCCCAUGGUAUUCCGAGGGGCAUGCCUGUUCGAGCGUCAUUACACCACUCAAGCUAUGCUUGGUAUUGGGCGUCGUCCUUAGUUGGGCGCGCCUUAAAGACCUCGGCGAGGCCACUCCGGCUUUAGGCGUAGUAGAAUUUAUUCGAACGUCUGUCAAAGGAGAGGAACUCUGCCGACUGAAACCUUUAUUUUUCUAGGUUGACCUCGGAUCAGGUAGGGAUACCCGCUGAACUUAAGCAUAUCAAUAAGCGGAGGA
rnacentral:misc_RNA from 1 species